ACGUACACUCCUGCGGGAGGCAGCAGUGGGGAAUUUUACGCAAUGGGGGAAACCCUGACGUAGCGACACCGCGUGAGCGAAGAAGCCCUUUGGGGUGUAAAGCUCUGUCAGCUGGAACGAAAACAAUGACGGUACCAGCAGAGGAAGCAUCGGCUAACUACGUGCCAGCAGCCGCGGUAAGACGUAGGAUGCGAGCGUUGUCCGGAUUUAUUGGGCGUAAAGAGUUCGUAGGUGGUUUGUUAAGUUUGGUGUUAAAGAUCGGGGCUCAACCCUGGGACUGCACUGAAUACUGGCAGACUCGAGUGUGGUAGAGGCUAGUGGAAUCCCCAGUGUAGCGGUGAAAUGCGUAGAUAUUGGGAAGAACACCGGUGGCGUAGGCGACUAGCUGGGCCAUAACUGACGCUGAGGAACGAAAGCCAGGGGAGCGAAUGGGAUUAGAAACCCCAGUAGUCCC
rnacentral:rRNA from 1 species